AAAAAAGGUAAGCUACUAAGAGCGAAUGGUGGAUGCCUUGACUGGUAAAGGCGAUGAAGGACGUACUAGACUGCGAUAAGCUACGGGGAGCUGUCAAGAAGCUUUGAUCCGUAGAUUUCCGAAUGGGGCAACCCAAUGUAUAGAGAUAUACAUUACCUAUAUAGGAGCGAACGAGGGGAAUUGAAACAUCUUAGUACCCUCAGGAAAAGAAAUCAAUAGAGAUUGCGUCAGUAGCGGCGAGCGAAAGCGCAAGAGGGCAAACCCAGUGCUUGCACUGGGGGUUGUAGGACUGCAAUGUGCAAGAGGUGAGUUUAGCAGAACAUUCUGGAAAGUAUAGCCAUAGAGGGUGAUAGUCCCGUAUGCGAAAAACAAACCUUAGCUAGCAGUAUCCUGAGUAGGGCGGGACACGAGAAAUCCUGUCUGAAGCUGGGUCGACCACGAUCCAACCCUAAAUACUAAUACCAGAUCGAUAGUGCACAAGUACCGUGAGGGAAAGGUGAAAAGAACUGAGGUGAUCAGAGUGAAAUAGAACCUGAAACCAUUUGCUUACAAUCAUUCAGAGCCCUAUGUAGCAAUACAGGGUGAUGGACUGCCUUUUGCAUAAUGAGCCUGCGAGUUGUGGUGUCUGGCAAGGUUAAGCAAACGCGAAGCCGUAGCGAAAGCGAGUCUGAAUAGGGCGCUUAGUCAGAUGCUGCAGACCCGAAACGAAGUGAUCUAUCCAUGAGCAAGUUGAAGCUAGUGUAAGAACUAGUGGAGGACUGAACCCAUAGGCGUUGAAAAGCCCCGGGAUGACUUGUGGAUAGGGGUGAAAGGCCAAUCAAACUUCGUGAUAGCUGGUUCUCUCCGAAAUAUAUUUAGGUAUAGCGUUGUGUCGUAAUAUAAGGGGGUAGAGCACUGAAUGGGCUAGGGCAUACACCAAUGUACCAAACCCUAUCAAACUCCGAAUACCUUAUAUGUAAUCACAGCAGUCAGGCGGCGAGUGAUAAAAUCCGUCGUCAAGAGGGAAACAACCCAGACUACCAGCUAAGGUCCCUAAAUCUUACUUAAGUGGAAAACGAUGUGAAGUUACUUAAACAACCAGGAGGUUGGCUUAGAAGCAGCCAUCCUUUAAAGAAAGCGUAAUAGCUCACUGGUCUAGUGAUUUUGCGCGGAAAAUAUAACGGGGCUAAAGUAAGUACCGAAGCUGUAGACUUGCGCACAACUUAGAUUAUUUAAGUUUAGAAUAUGAGAAACUAAGUUAUAUGUUUAGUUAUAUUUUUACUGAUUUUUAUAGAGUAAAGAUAGAAAUAAAACUUAGUAAAAUCAGUAAAAAUAUUCUUAGACUAAAGUUAAGUAGUUUAAGUUGUGUGCAAGUGGUAGGAGAGCGUUCUAUUUGCGUCGAAGGUAUACCGGUAAGGAGUGCUGGAGCGAAUAGAAGUGAGCAUGCAGGCAUGAGUAGCGAUAAUUAAUGUGAGAAUCAUUAACGCCGUAAACCCAAGGUUUCCUACGCGAUGCUCGUCAUCGUAGGGUUAGUCGGGUCCUAAGUCGAGUCCGAAAGGGGUAGACGAUGGCAAAUUGGUUAAUAUUCCAAUACCAACAUUAGUGUGCGAUGGAAGGACGCUUAGGGCUAAGGGGGCUAGCGGAUGGAAGUGCUAGUCUAAGGUCGUAGGAGGUUAUACAGGCAAAUCCGUAUAACAAUACUCCGAGAACUGAAAGGCUUUUUGAAGUCUUCGGAUGGAUAGAAGAACCCCUGAUGCCGUCGAGCCAAGAAAAGUUUCUAAGUUUAGCUAAUGUUGCCCGUACCGUAAACCGACACAGGUGGGUGGGAUGAGUAUUCUAAGGCGCGUGGAAGAACUCUCUUUAAGGAACUCUGCAAAAUAGCACCGUAUCUUCGGUAUAAGGUGUGGUUCGCUUCGUAUUAGGAUUUACUCCGAAAGCGAAGAAACUUACAACAAAGAGUCCCUCCCGACUGUUUACCAAAAACACAGCACUCUGCUAACUCGUAAGAGGAUGUAUAGGGUGUGACGCCUGCCCGGUGCUCGAAGGUUAAUUGAUGGGGUUAGCAUUAGCGAAGCUCUUGAUCGAAGCCCGAGUAAACGGCGGCCGUAACUAUAACGGUCCUAAGGUAGCGAAAUUCCUUGUCGGUUAAAUACCGACCUGCAUGAAUGGCGUAACGAGAUGGGAGCUGUCUCAAAGAGGGAUCCAGUGAAAUUGUAGUGGAGGUGAAAAUUCCUCCUACCCGCGGCAAGACGGAAAGACCCCGUGGACCUUUACUACAGCUUGACACUGCUAUUUGGAUAAGAAUGUGCAGGAUAGGUGG
rnacentral:rRNA from 1 species